rnacentral:rRNA from 1 species
CCUACGGGCGGCAGCAGUAGGGAAUUUUGCGCAAUGGGCGAAAGCCUGACGCAGCAACGCCGCGUGAUCGAGACGCCCUUCGGGGUGUAAAGCUCUGUCUGUGGGGACGAAUCUUGACGGUACCCACCGAGGAAGCACCGGCUAACUCCGUGCCAGCAGCCGCGGUAAUACGGGGGGUGCAAGCGUUGUCCGGAAUCAUUGGGCGUAAAGAGUUCGUAGGCGGCACGUAAAGUCAGGUGUUAAAGGCAGUGGCUGAACUUCAGUACGGCACUGGAUACUUGUGCGCUAGAGUGCGGUAGAGGUAAAGGGAAUUCUUGGUGUAGCGGUGAAAUGCGUAGAGAUCAAGAGGAACA